GACGAACGCUGGCGGCGUGCUUAACACAUGCAAGUCGAACGAUGAUCAGGAGCUUGCUCCUGUGAUUAGUGGCGAACGGGUGAGUAACACAUGAGUAACCUGCCCCUGACUCUGGGAUAAGCGUUGGAAACGACGUCUAAUACUGGAUAUGAUCACUGGCCGCAUGGUCUGGUGGUGGAAAGAUUUUUUGGUUAGGGAUGAGCUCGCGGCCUAUCAGCUUGUUGGUGAGGUAACGGCUCACCAAGGCGACGACGGGUAGCCGGCCUGAGAGGGUGACCGGCCACACUGGGACUGAGACACGGCCCAGACUCCUACGGGAGGCAGCAGUGGGGAAUAUUGCACAAUGGGCGCAAGCCUGAUGCAGCAACGCCGCGUGAGGGACGACGGCCUUCGGGUUGUAAACCUCUUUCAGCGGGGACGAAGCGCAAGUGACGGUACCCGCAGAAGAAGCACCGGCCAACUACGUGCCAGCCGCCGCCGUAAAAC
rnacentral:rRNA from 1 species